AGUACCUUAGAGUCUCUUAAAAGUUAUGUAAGGAGAAAACUGUUCCAAGAACAAUUGUGGAAACUGGAAAACUGUGCUAUCUGAACUUAAUAAUCUGGUUUACUUUUGCGACGAUUUAAUCUGCAUGCAAUGCGUAAGCUGGAAAGGUCCCUGUGUCACUGCUGACAAGCUGCAAUUCUCAGAGGUGCCCAGCUGAAAGUCCUAUAUCAACUGAUUUGCUGUCUAGCUUUAAUAUGGCAGGGCUUCAACCACUUUCAUUUUCAGCAACUCAAGUAUCACAGCCCUAAUAUUCUUUGCCCCUUGAAUGGUCACGCUUCUUGAUGUGCAGAUUCUGACCCUACCAAGGCCAUUAUCAAACCUGGAUUCAACUGGCCAAAUGCUUGAAGGCACAAGUCUGGAGCAAGGGAUUCCUUCUACCUAACAUGACAUAAAGCCUCUGCUGAAUUAAUUCAUCCCAGUUUAAUCCAUGUGUUGAGAAGGUCUCUGCCUUCCUGGAACCACCUGAUGCAAUUGGAAUUUGAAGUUUUUAUGGAAAUUGGAGUUUUCAUGAAUUUGGAAAAUAGAUCUCAUAUUCCCAUAGGCACAAGUACAUGAGUGCAUACAUUGUAUCUUAAUUAUCUUAAUUAGUCUUCCGGGGCUGUUAGACUUUCUUGAGGAGGUUUGAACCAUGGAUCUGUUCUCACACCAAGCUUUGGGUCUUAGCUACCUGUGGGACUCCAUAUAGAUUUAUUAUCCUAAAAACAGAGUACAGUACCCUAGUCAGAUAUUAUUUAGAGAUUAUUUGGAUGCUGUACUGCAAAUUAAAUUAA